UGUAACUUCAUCAAAAAUGUAUUUUGGAGAUGUCAACAAUUAUGAUUACCAUAUUGAUUGUACCUUUUAUAUUGGAUUGAUCGUUGUUGAAACGUAUAAUCAGAUUGUGAAAUGUUAUUGGAUGGUGAAAAAGUCUAUGAUAUUGAGUCUGACACUGAUAAUGAAAAGAUUAAAUAUAAGUUUGUAUCCAAAGAUGAAAUCAAAUCUUCUAAUAAUAAGAAAUUCCAAUGUACAUUUAUAUACGAUAAUGUAUCUGAAUUUCAAAACCAUUUAUUAACAUACACAAAGCCAUUACAAUACAGUGACCAGUGGUACUCCUUCCUUGCCAGAUGAUAAACAAACAUUUACAAGUUUAAUUCUACAACAUCCAACUACCUAAAUGUAAACUAAAGAAGUGAAGUUUUAUCAUCACUAAUAUGUAAAGUAAAGUACAGCAACUGCAGUGAAACCUAUCGACUAAGAAAACAAAACUUCCAGUUCUCUUACGACCUAACCUCAUUGGUCAUUCCAUAAAAAAUGUAUUUAUGAAGUUGAUUAUGUUGAUGUUUUAUUGGAGAUCAGGCUGAAGGCCUUCACUUAAUUGUUGUGGUAUGUGGUGUUUGGAUCUUGAGUCUGAGUACUUGGAACAGUCAAUAAUUAUGUGUUUGACAGUGAACCCCACACCA